UUUCCGUAGGUGAACCUGCGGAAGGAUCAUUCAUAAUAAGUGUUUUAUGGCACUUUUUUAAAUCCAUAUCCACCUUGUGUGCAAUGUCAGGGUUGAUUUUUCUCUCGAGGGAUCAGCCCCAAACAUCAACUAUAUCUCAACUCUUUGUCUGAAAAAUAUUAUGAAUAAAACAAUUCAAAAUACAACUUUCAACAACGGAUCUCUUGGCUCUC
rnacentral:misc_RNA from 1 species